rnacentral:rRNA from 1 species
AUUUAUUAUUUAUUUUAAAUUAUUAAAAAUAAUUAUAUAAUGUAAUGUUUUAGUAUAUAAUAUAGAAAAAAUAAUAUUAAUAAUAGUUUAAUAGUAUUGUGAAAUAAAAUUGAAAUAUUUGAAAAAUUUUUAUUAUAAAAGUAAAUUUAAUUUAUUGUACCUUGUGUAUCAGGAUUUAUCAAUUAAAAAUUAAUUAUUAUAAUUUUCUCGAUUUUAAAAGAGUUAAUAUAUUAUAAAAGUUAAUGUAACAAAAUUAUUUUUAAUAAUAUAUUAGUAAUGAAAUGUUAUUCGUUUUUAAAGGUAUCUAGUUCUUUAAGAAAUAAAUUUAAUUUAGAAAUUUUAUAUUAUUUAAUUAAAUAUAUUAAUUAAAUAAAUAUUUUAUUUCAAUAUUUUAUGGGAUAAGCUAUAAAAUAAAAUUUUAAAAAUUCAUUAAUUAAUAAAUAAAUAUAAGCUUAGAAAUAGUUAUUAUUAAUAAAAAUGUUAUAGUUUAUUUUAUAAUAAUUAAUUAUUUAUUUGGAUUUUAAAUAUUUAUUAAAGUAUUUAUUUUAAUAUAAAAAAUAAAAAAAUAAUGAUAUAAUUAGUAUAAAUUAUUAUAUUAAUAAAUUUUUUUGAUAAGUUAUUAUAAAGAAUUCGGCAAAAAUAAUGUUCGCCUGUUUAACAAAAACAUGUCUUUUUUUGUUUAUAAAAAGUUUAACCUGCCCACUGAAUAAUUUUAAUGGCCGCAGUAUUUUAACUGUGCAAAGGUAGCAUAAUCAUUAGUCUUUUAAUUGAAGGCUUGUAUGAAUGGUUGGACGAGAUAUUAACUGUUUCAUCUUAAUUUUUUUUUGAAUUUAAUUUUUUAGUCAAAAAGCUAAAAUUUAUUUAAAAGACGAGAAGACCCUAUAAAUCUUUAUAUUGGAAUUAUUAUUAUUAUUUAGAUUUAUUUUAUAAUAAUAUUUAAUAAUAUUUUAUUGGGGUGAUAUUGAAAUUUAUAAAACUUUUAAUUUUUAAUUACAUUAAUUUAUGAAUAAAUGAUCCGUUUUUAACGAUUAAAAAUACAAGUUACUUUAGGGAUAACAGCGUAAUUUUUUUGGAGAGUUCUUAUCGAUAAAAAAGAUUGCGACCUCGAUGUUGGAUUAAGAAAUAAUUUUAGGUGUAGUAGCUUAAAUUUUAAGUCUGUUCGACUUUUAAAUUCUUACAUGAUCUGAGUUCAAACCGGUGUAAGCCAGGUUGGUUUCUAUCUUUAAAAAAUUAAAAUAUUUCAGUACGAAAGGACCUAAUAUUUAAUAAAUUAUUAUUUUAAAAUUGAAUUAAAUUAAUAUAUUAUAAA